rnacentral:tRNA from 1 species
GUCUAUGUAGAUUAUAUUAUAAAUCAUGAUGCUGUUAACUUCAAGAAGUGGAAUCUACCAUAGUCG